GUCCUCUUGUUUGUUAUACGAGGUCAAGCCUGCCCGGUGAUAAUUAUUUAACGGCCGCGGUAUUUUGACCGUGCAAAGGUAGCAUAAUCAUUAGUCUUUUAAUAGGGGGCUGGAAUGAAGGGCUUGACGAGGCACUAACUGUCUCAAUUUAAUAAUUUAAAAUUUAGCUUUUGGGUUAAAAGGCUCAAAUUUUUUUGGAAGACGAGAAGACCCUAUAGAGCUUUAAUGGUCGAUUUUAAUAGCUGUUUUGUUUUAUUUUUAUUGUUGUUUAUUAGACUUUUUUGUUGGGGCGACAAAAGAUAUAUAUUUAACUUUUAUUAUUUAUUUUACAUUUAUUUAUGGUUUUUAGAUCCAUUAUUAUUGAUUAAUAGAGUAAGUUACCUUAGGGAUAACAGCGUAAUCUUCCUCCAGAGCUCGAAUUUACAGGAAGGCUUGCGACCUCGAUGUUGGAUUAAGAUAAUGAUUGGGUGCAGCAGCCCAGUUAAUAGGUCUGUUCGACCUUUAAAUUCUU
rnacentral:rRNA from 1 species